GGAGCCCUCCCAGGGCUCAGACCCCAGCCUGAAACUCUCCCAGCACUCCAAAAGCCAAAUCCCACCCAGCUCUGGGCUGCUUCGUGGGGCCCCAGACUGGAGAAGACGCCCCACAAAGGGUCUCUAAGGAAGAGGCGGCUGGUGGUCAGGCCUGGGCAGCUGUGGGAGCUGAGAGUUUAAUGGGGAGAACGUGCUGUGUUGGCUUCACGCUCCAACAUCAGGGGGAACCAGCUGCACCGUUUCCCCAGAAUCACGGUCUCUUGAGCCCAAUGUUCAAAUAUAUGCAGACGUCGGAGCCUGGACUAUUUUUAGCUGAGACUCAGAGGGAGAUGAUCUCAGGCUGACUCGGAGAGUGGCCCAGUCCCAGAGGAGCGCAGAAUCAACCUGAAAAGUCAGGCUUGGGGACCACCCCCUUCUCCUGCUGUAAGCGCCUGGAUUCUGCACCCCAGGUGCCCUGAAGGGAUUUCUUCCCUGUGUGUCCCUGGGCCCUCUUCUGAUAAGGACACCAGUCAUUGGACUUAAGGCCUACACUAAUCCAGUCUGGCCUCAUCUCAAAUUGACGAACAUCAGCACACACCCUAUUUCCAAGUAAGAUCCUAUUCACAGGCACCAGGGGUGCCUUCAAUGCAUCUUUUGGGGGGAACACAAUUCAACCCACAGCAUCUUCUGUGUUGUUCUGCCCAAGGACAGCCACCCCCCCAGCAGCCGCGGUGAGAAGUUCCCCCAGGUUUGGGGUUUCCAAUCUUGGGUGGCAGCAGGCUGGGAGCCAGGAUCCGCUUGAGCCUUACUGUGCUCUCCUGCUAGGAGGGGCGGCAGCUCCUUGCCCCUGGAGACAGCGCGGCUCCCCAGAGCAGCUGAGUGUCUUGCAGUCAUCAACAGCCACCUCAUCUCAGAGGCAGCACCUGGAAUCUUACCUGCCUUACCUCCUUUAGUCCUCAAAACACCUGUGUCCCAGGAUUAUGUCCCUUAUUCUACAGAGGAGGAAGCUGAAGUGCAAACUAAGAGGAAGUUCCGAAGCAGCAGGUUGGGGUGCCGGGUGCCAGCCUGGCGAGGAGCUCGGGGCUCUCGCGAGGACCGUGACGGGGCUUUCACCCCAUCUUCCCUUCUGAGUCGGGCUUGUCGGGAUGGGGUGGUGGGGUCUGCACCUGCACAGCCAAGGAGGAGCAGGGCAGCCUCACCCUAGCACAGUCCUGAAGAGGGCCCCGCCCCCUUUAAGGGAAUACGUCCAUUCCCUUUUAGAGAGUGCUAGGCCGAUACUUGGAGGAGCCAGUGUGGUCGGGCAGAAAGGGGUACUUGGAGGAGCCAGUGUGGUCGGGCAGAAAGGGGUGGACAAACCUAAACCCUACGGGCCUCUUUUUUGAGACCCCAAACUGCCUGGGCUCUUGCCUCCCAGAAGUCAGAUCUUCCCCAGGGGAGGGUGUGGGAAGGUGGGGUUAGGGAACAUACGGGGUCUUUGGGAGCCUUCUAAGAGCCAAGGCAGUUGGGGCAGCUGCAGGGCCAGAGCACAGGGAAGGCAGGUCCACCAGGUCUAGCUGCUCGGCCUCCAGCCCCGCCAGGCCCAGCUAAGAGGGUGCUUUGGCUGCCAAGAGAAGAACCCGGGGUGGGGACUGCCUCCUGGGCCUCCACAGGCAGCUGGCCUCCUACAGUCCUGCUGGGACCUGGGACCCCGUCCUCUCUGCUGCCCUCCAGCUUCCCUGGCUGUGAGGGACAGAACUUGUUACCAGCCUCCCACUCAUGUUAUUUCUCCUGCCCUUGAACUUCAGGACUGUCUUGGAGCCAGCCGAGGCCUGUUUGCAUCCUUUGUCCCCAGGUCCAGCUGGAUCCCCCACCUUUUCCUCCACUGGAUUCAGCCUAGUGGGCCCUGGGCUGCAAGAGAAGUUGCUUCAGCCCAGGGGCUGGGGCUGGAGGCCAAGGCUUCAAAUGAGGCCUCCCCAAGUUGGUACUCAACCUCCUCUCCCUCCUUGGAGGGCAAAGCCACGAGGGCUGCAGAGAGGAGCUAGCCAGGUAUGAUGGGUAAGUGCAGUGGUUCACAGUAGAACCACACUAGACACAUAGAGGAGUGCUUUAUGAAAUGCUGAUGCCCAGCUGGGUGUGGUGGCUCACACCUGUAAUCCCAGCACUUGGGGAGGCCGAGGUGGGAGGAUCACUUGAGCCUAGGAGUUUGAGACAAGUCUGGGCAACAUAGUGAGACCCCCCCUACCCCCAUCUCUGUAAAAAAAAAUUAGCCAGGUUUGGUGACGCAUGCCUGUGGUCCCAGCUACUCAGGAGGCUGAGGUGGGAAGAUUGCUUGAGCCCAGAAGUUUGAGGGCUCCAGCCUGUGUGACAGAGUGAGAUCCUGACUCUAAAAAUAGGAUUUUUUUUUUUUUUUUUUGAGAUGGAGUCUCAACCUCCACCUCCUGGGCUCAAGUGAUUCUCCUGCCUCAGCCUGCCGAGUAGCUGGGAUUACAGGCACGCACCACCAUGCCCAGCUAAUUUUUGUAUUUUUAGUACAGACGGGGGUUUCACCAUGUUGGCCAGGCUGGUCUCGAACUCCUGACUUCAAAUGAUCUGCCUACGUCGGCCUCCCGAAGUUCUGGGAUUACAGACAUGAGCCACCCUGCCUAGAUAUUUUGGUUUUUGGUUUAAUUGGCUCCUCAGGUGAGUCCACGGGCUGAGGGGCUUCAUCACACCUGUUUCCUCACCUGUGAGUGGGGAGGGGUGGUCACCUGGCAGGGUGGUGGUGAGGCCGGCCCGUGCCUGCCCUUCCCUCCACUGUUCAGAGUUGGGCCAGGGCUGAAGGAGGCGUGGCCAGCUUCAGAGGAAGGUGUGGGAGCCGCAGCUCUGCCUGGCACUGACAUCUGGGCUGCAAAUUCUUUCCAGUUCUCAACUUCUCCCCCACUACUGCCAGCCAGCCCCUCCAGCUUCAUUUAAAAGUUCAGACAGGAUUCAAAAGUAGGCUGAUAUAUAAAGACCUAUUAAAACUCAACACUAAGAAAA